rnacentral:rRNA from 1 species
UGGGGAAUAUUGCGCAAUGGGCGGAAGCCUGACGCAGCAACGCCGCGUGCGGGAGGAAGGCCUUCGGGUCGUAAACCGCUUUCAGGGGGGACGAAGCCACCAGGGUUAAUAGCCCAUGGGGUGACGGUACUCCCAGAAGAAGCCCCGGCUAACUACGUGCCAGCAGCCGCGGUAAUACGUAGGGGGCGAGCGUUGUCCGGAAUCAUUGGGCGUAAAGAGCGUGUAGGUGGCUUGGAAAGUCUUACGUGAAAGCCUGCGGCUCAACCGCAGAAGUGCGUAGGAAACUUCCUCGCUAGAGUCCGGAAGAGGAGAGCGGAAUUCCUGGUGUAGCGGUGGAAUGCGCAGAUAUCAGGAGGAACACCCGUGGCGAAGGCGGCUCUCUGGGACGGUACUGACACUGAGACGCGAAAGCGUGGGGAGCGAACAG